ACCCGCUGAACUUAAGCAUAUCAAUAAGCGGAGGAAAAGAAACCAACAGGGAUUGCCCCAGUAACGGCGAGUGAAGCGGCAACAGCUCAAAUUUGAAAUCUGGCUUCGGCCCGAGUUGUAAUUUGCAGAGGAUGUUUAUGGUGCGGUACCUUCCGAGUUCCCUGGAACGGGACGCCACAGAGGGUGAGAGCCCCGUCUGGUUGGAUACCAAACCUGUGUUAAACUCCUUCAACGAGUCGAGUAGUUUGGGAAUGCUGCUCUAAAUGGGAGGUAAAUCUCUUCUAAAGCUAAAUAUUGGCCAGAGACCGAUAGCGCACAAGUAGAGUGAUCGAAAGAUGAAAAGCACCUUGAAAAGGGGGUUAAACAGUACGUGAAAUUGUUAAAAGGGAAGCGUUUAUGACCAGACUUGUGUCGUGUGGCUCAUCCGAGGUUCUCCCCGGUGCACUCCACACGGCUCAGGCCAACAUCGGUUCUCGUUGGGGGAUAAGAACAGCAGGAACGUGGCCCUCUUCGGAGGGUGUUAUAGCCUGCUGUACGAUACCCUGAUGGGGACCGAGGACCGCGCUUCGGCUAGGAUGUUGGCGUAAUGGUCAUUAGCGCCCGUCUUGAAACACGGACCAAGGAGUCGUCCAUUAGAGCGAGCGUUUGGGUGUAAAACCCGCACGCGUAAUGAAAGUGAAAUUAGGUGAGAGCUUCGGCGCAUCAUCGACCGAUCCUGAAGUUUACGGAUGGAUUUGAGUAAGAGUUUUAACGGACGGACCCGAAAGACAGUGAACUAUGCUUGAAUAGGGUGAAGCCAGAGGAAACUCUGGUGGAGGCUCGCAGCGGUUCUGACGUGCAAAUCGAUCGUCAAAUUUGAGCAUGGGGGCGAAAGACUAAUCGAACUGUCUAGUAGCUGGUUACCGCCGAAGUUUCCCUCAGGA
rnacentral:rRNA from 1 species